rnacentral:rRNA from 1 species
GAUGAACGCUAGCGGCAGGCCUAAUACAUGCAAGACGAACGGUAAGUUGAGUAGCAAUACUUAGCCAAGAGUGUCGUACGGGUGCGUAACACGUAUGCAACCUACCCUAUACAGGAGGAUAGCCUAGGGAAACCUGGAUUAACCCUUCAUAGUAUUAUUGGAUGGCAUCAUUUGAUAAUUAAAACUGAGGUGGUAUAGGAUGGGCAUGCGUCUGAUUAGUUAGUUGGCGGGUAAUGGCCCACCAAGACGAUGAUCAGUAGGGGUUCUGAGAGGGAAGAUCCCCCCACACUGGCACUGAGAUACGGGCCAGACUCCUACGGGAGGCAGCAGUAGGGAAUAUUGGGUCAAUGGAUGCAAGUCUGAACCAGCCAUGCCGCGUGCAGGAAGAAGGCCUUCUGGGGUUGUUAAAACUGGCUUUUUGGCCAGGGGGAUAAAAUUUCCAUGCGUGGAAACUG